GCCAGAGUUAAUACCUUACCUCUCCCUGAGUGUCCCUUUCGCAAUCUGGAGCUAUGGACCUGGUUACAGAUUGACUUCGAACAAUGUCUGAUGUGCGGAGUAAAGUCCUCCUUGGCCUUGGUAAAGCCUUCCUCUUUUCUCCUCAGAAGUUUCUCCAACCCGUGUCUCAGAGAUGAGAUCUCAGGAGGACUCCAGGAGCCCGACACAGCAUGAGUCCUUGGGUUCAGCAGAGGCUUCCACCAGGGACCGGAAGACAUCCUUGCCCAUGGAGCCCAAGUUCGACAUGUUGUACAAGAUUGAGGAUGUGCCACCAUGGUACCUAUGCAUCCUGCUGGGCUUCCAGCAUUACCUGACGUGCUUCAGCGGCACCAUCGCUGUGCCCUUCCUUCUGGCUGAGGCGCUGUGUGUGGGCCGCGACCAGCACAUGGUCAGUCAGCUCAUCGGCACCAUCUUCACCUGUGUGGGUAUCACCACUCUCAUCCAGACUACAGUGGGCAUCCGGCUACCACUGUUCCAGGCCAGUGCCCUUGCCUUUCUAGUUCCAGCCAAAGCUAUCCUGGCUUUGGAGAGGUGGAAGUGUCCCCCAGCAGAGGAGAUCUAUGGUAACUGGAGUAUGCCCCUGGAUACCUCUCAUAUCUGGCACCCGCGGAUUCGCGAGGUCCAGGGUGCAAUCAUGGUGUCCAGUAUGGUAGAGGUGCUGAUUGGGCUGAUGGGGCUGCCUGGGGCCCUGCUCAGCUACAUUGGGCCUCUCACGGUCACCCCCACUGUCUCCCUCAUUGGUCUCUCUGUUUUCCAAGCUGCUGGUGACCGAGCUGGCUCCCACUGGGGCAUUUCAGCUUGUUCCAUUCUGCUGAUCGUCCUGUUCUCCCAGUACUUACGCAACCUCACCUUCCUAAUACCUGUUUACCGAUGGGGCAAGGGGUUCACUCUCUUCCGCAUCCAGAUCUUUAAGAUGUUUCCGAUCGUGCUGGCCAUCAUGACGGUGUGGCUGCUCUGCUAUGUGCUGACCCUGACUGAUGUGCUGCCUGCAGAUCCCACAGCCUACGGCUUCCAGGCACGAACUGAUGCCCGAGGCGACAUCAUGGCUAGCUCACCCUGGAUCCGCAUCCCCUACCCAUGUCAGUGGGGCCUACCCACUGUGACUGUGGCUGCAGUCCUGGGAAUGUUUAGUGCCACACUGGCAGGCAUCAUUGAGUCCAUUGGUGACUACUAUGCUUGUGCCCGGCUGGCUGGUGCACCGCCCCCUCCGGUACAUGCUAUCAACAGGGGAAUUUUCACUGAAGGCAUCUGCUGCAUUAUCGCUGGGCUACUGGGCACAGGCAACGGGUCUACCUCGUCCAGCCCCAAUAUUGGGGUCCUAGGGAUUACCAAGGUGGGAAGCCGUCGAGUCGUGCAGUAUGGUGCAUGCAUCAUGCUAGUCCUGGGUGCCAUUGGCAAGUUCACAGCCCUCUUCGCCUCUCUCCCAGACCCCAUCCUGGGAGGAAUGUUCUGUACCCUUUUUGGUAUGAUCACCGCCGUGGGACUGUCCAAUCUGCAGUUUGUGGACAUGAACUCCUCCCGCAACCUCUUUGUACUGGGAUUCUCCAUGUUCUUUGGCCUCAUGCUGCCCAAUUACCUGGAGUCCAACCCAGGUGCUAUUAACACAGGCAUUCCAGAAGUGGAUCAGAUCUUCACUGUGCUGCUGACCACGGAGAUGUUUGUUGGCGGGUGCCUUGCUUUCAUUCUGGACAACACUGUGCCAGGGAGCCCAGAGGAAAGAGGCCUGGUACAGUGGAAAGCUGGAGCCCAUGCCAACAGCGAGAUGUCAGCCAGCCUGAAGAGCUAUGACUUCCCCUUUGGGAUGGCCAUGGUAAAAAGGAGUGCCUUCCUCAGAUACAUUCCUAUCUGCCCAGUCUUCAGAGGAUUUGCUGACAAGUCAGAAAAUCAGACUCCAGUUCCAGAAGAUACUCCAAACAAUACAGAAGCCACAUCUGUGUGCACCAAGGUCUGAAACUAACUACGAAAGGAAAGGAGGAACUGGAUGCAACAAGAAAAGAAAACCGCACAGAAGACAGAAGACCUGAGUUGGGAAUCUCAGCUCUGCCUUUUCCAAAUUCCCAUUUGCAGAACGGUUUCCAAAGUGUGACGGGAAGGAUGACUCUAAACUAUCUCCUCUGGGAUGCUUUUAAACAAUUACCAUGCUUAAACCUGAUUCUUCAAGUUUAGGUGAUUAUGACGACAGCUUAGUAAACGAAUGCACACUGAACAGAUAACAAUGAAGAAAUUCCAGAGCCCAGGAGUUCCAGAUAAUUCUCUUGGCUAGAAAAAUGAACACUGAAAACCAGAAAAAAAAAUUGUAAUUUCAUGUGGAGCAUGGUGGUUCAUGCUUGUAAUUCCAGGUUUUGAUAGACUUGGGCAUGAGGAUUACUCUCUAAGUCUGAGGCUAGUCAGGGCUAUGCACUGAGUUUCAGGUUGGAUUGUGCUACAGUGAGACCCUGUUUCAAACAUCUACCCACUUCACAAAACAAAAUCUUUUAGCUUAAUUUUAGUAAAAGACUCAUCAGGGUCUACUUUAGUGACGAUGAGAACUUUACUGCAAGGGCAUUACCAGAGAUGACACUGAGGAUAAGCAAGAACAUGAAUCUAGCUUUGCAUUCUUUUUCUGCCAAGAGCUUGUAAAAGUAUCUCAAAGAAACCCAAUCAGGAGAUCUAAGAAAUUUUAUCAGAUAAAAAUUUCCAGAUUUUACCAAAUGUUUAGGUGAGCAAUUAAAGAGCAAAACUUUCAUCAAGGUACUUUUAUAUAAUCAAGCAAUACAGUAAUAUUGUAAAUUUUGUACUACUCCAAGACAUUCAGAUACUUCAAGGGCAACAUAAGUUUAAUUCAACAUCAAGGUUGAACCAACAAGUUAUCUUAUGUGAGACUGGGGACCUCUGUUUCCACACUUAAAAAGAGUGGGAAAUUUUUCAAAGGGGAAGAGAUGUGGAACUCUUCUUAAAUAGAGCGAAGCUGGAUUUUCCACUUAUGGGAAAGAUAAGGUAGGGUCUAAAAAAAUGAGAAAUGACUUUUUUUUUUACCACAAGAUCUUCCAGAGAAGAGCCAUCACUGAUAACAAGGUCAUUAAACUGGUCUUGGAUUUGGUCCAUAGUUUGUGGGAGAUCUCGAGCUGGAAUAAACCAUUCAUGUUCUUCUUCCUCUUCCAACAUUUCUUGGAAACAGCGUUCAAUAAAUUCUUCUUCCCACAA